rnacentral:rRNA from 1 species
UACGUAGGGUGCGAGCGUUAAUCGGAAUUACUGGGCGUAAAGCGUGCGCAGGCGGUUUUGUAAGCCAGGUGUGAAAUCCCCGGGCUCAACCUGGGAAUGGCAUUUGGGACUGCAAGGCUGGAGUGCGGCAGAGGAGACUGGAAUUCCUGGUGUAGCAGUGAAAUGCGUAGAUAUGCGGAGGAACACCGAUGGCGAAGGCAAUCCCCUGGGCCUGCACUGACGCUCAUGCACGAAAGCGUGGGGAGCAAACAGG